ensembl:lncRNA
UUCGAACUCGAAAAGGGGGCUGGGUACGUUUUCUGAACCACUCCAAAACGAUGGAGUUGCAUAACUUCAGAAAACAACGGCAGUUUGUGGGCAAGGCAAGCCCACUCGAUGCUAAUCAACCAAGGGGCACACACACCCCUCUAUCGUCAACGCCCCCUCCACAAUCUCCCUCCCCGAUAGGUCCAGGCAGAGAUGGAAAAAAACAACAACAAGGGCUUUAAAAACAUCCACAUUGUUCCGUCCAUCAGUAACAUCUGGUUAUCAAACCGGGGUACUGUGGCUACAUUCUCCUGUUUUUCGGCACAUUGUUUAUUCUCCUCCAUCUCCGGGGAGGACAGAAAUCAAAGUUUACAGUUUUUUUCUUGCGUGAACUCAAAACGCGAACAUGCCCAGCAAGAGGAAGAAGAACAAGCGCCGCAUGAGAAGGGUGCAGGCCCAGAGGAGAGUCCUUGAGGAGCAGCAUUCUACUGGCGCAGGCAAAGGAACCCCAGGAGUGGCUGCCGUGGCACCCCCCCUUGAAAUAUUAAAUUGUCCCCCCCUUCUCUCACCCCCUCCAGUAGUAAAGGUCCCAGUCGUAAAGCCCCCUGAAAUAUCCAAUUGUCACCCCCUUAUUCCCCCCACUAUAGUAGUAAAGGUCCCAUUCGUACAGCCACCGGCCCCAGUCAAAGUACCAGAUCCUGAGGCUGUGGUGACGGUGGUAGAGCCUGAAGUGGUAGCAGCUGAGGUUGAAGUUGAGGCCCCAGUCGAAGCUCCAGUGGAGGUUGAAGUCGAGGCCCCAGAAGAAGUUCCAGAAGAAGUCCCAGUCGAGGCCCCAGAAGAAGUCCCAGUCGAGGCCCCAGUCGAGGCCCCAGAAGAAGUCCCAGUCGAGGCCCCAGAAGAAGUCCCAGUCGAGGCCCCAGAAAAAGUCCCAGUCGAGGCCCCAGAAGAAGUCCCAGUCGAGGCCCCAGAAGAAGUCCCAGCCGAGACCCCAGAAGAAGUCCCAGUCGAGGCCCCAGAAGAAGUCCCAGUCGAGGCCCCAGAAGAAGUCCCAGUCGAGGCCCCAGAAGAAGUCCCAGUCGAGGCCCCAGAAGAAGUCCCAGUCGAGGCCCCAGAAGAAGUCCCAGUCGAGACCCCAGAAGAAGUCCCAGUCGAGGCUCCAGAAGAAGUCCCAGUUGAGGUCCCAGUCGUAGAAGCAGAAGCUCCUGUUGAGCCCCCUACAGAAGAAACUGCAGCAGGGCAGGAAGUUGAAGAAAGCAUCAUUCCAGAGACUGAGCCAGUAACUGAGGCCAUACCCAUUCCUGAGGCCCCUGUGUCAGCUCUUGCUGAAUUUGAGGUUCAGGUCGCAAACUCCGUAGCGAUUACCACAGAGAUCGCACAGACUCAUGAUGAGCCGGGGCUCGAGGCUGAAGUGGAGGCUGAAAUAGUUGACGAGGUCCAAGCGAAAGUAGAGGCAGUAGUUGAGGAAGAACCAGAGCCCGAUCCCAUGGUCAAGGCCGAAGCUGCCCCAGUUGUAGAAGCUGAACUUGAACUGUCGGGAAUCAAAGACGGAGACAGUCCUAUCGUCAAAGCUGAAGCCAUUCCUGAAGAUAUUGAUGUAGAAGAGCAUGAGACUGUUAUGGCAGAGGCACCUGAAGAGGUUCCAGUGCAGACAGAAAUUAUCCCAGAAAAGCUGUGGAAGCCCGUGGAAGCACCGAUUGAAGAAGCCCCCGUAGCCAAGAUCGCUCCAGCAGAGCUCCUCGUAGAGGCCUCAGUAGACCCUGUCAUCAACACAAUGGCUGACUUUGCCAUCACAGAAUCUGUUCCCGUUGUGGAAGCAGCCAUGGCUGAGCAGGUGCCCGCAGUUUCAACGGAUUCACUUGACGCCCUAUCGGAGUUGCUGAACGACAUCACUCUAGUCACUGAGCCCGCCCCUGUCACAGCUGAUAAAGUCAUUGACGAGCCAGAGUGUGAGGAGAAAGACGUGACAGAGAUGAGGGUGAGAGACAAUGCACUUCCACCCAAUUACCGGCCCUGCUCGGAGGACCUGCUGGUCAGAGUUGAAUCAUAAUAACCUAAACUUCUCAUCCACUCACUAAUUUUGAAUUCAACCAACUCUUUACUCUAUCACCUUGCUAUAUAAUAACCUUAACACAAUCAAACACUUGGGUGUAGGCUAUCCUCUCAUAACUUCUAAUUUUAAAUGCUCUCGCACAUUUUGAAAUGUGGCAUUCCAGGGGUUCUUCCUCUCUCAUGGGUUUCUCUCUGCCAUCUGUGGAUUGAUCCUCCCUCGCCUCUCUCCUUGUGGUCUUCCUUUUUACAUUCUGUUCAUUCCCUUGGUUGUGGGCUGCUCCAGCUUGUUUCAUUGCAUUGGGCAUGCCAAGUACUGUAGUUGGACUACUGGUUUAUUUUUUACUACUCUGGUAUUGAUUAAUUAGGAUCCCCAUUAGCGACAGCUAGUCUUACUGGGGUCCGACAACGAGAAAUACAUUUGACCAAAAAAAUACUUUACAAUUGUUACGCAUGCCUCUUGGGAGGGAACGCAACACCCUGCAACACUCAACUCCGUGGAGUGAAAGCGGUAUGGGAUUGCAGGUAAGGAUGACAAAGGCAGAGAAUUACACCAUUAACAGGGAAUUUAUUCCUUCACACGGUAAUUCUGGGUCAAAGGGUCUGGACUGAACCAAAGCAAAGAAAGUAAAAGUUAGAGCCCACUCUCCUACCCACAAUUUAUCUAUUUUUAACACCACCUGGCGUGCUAACCAAAAUACAGGGGGUAGUCCGCUCAGGUCUUACCUAGUGUGCAUAGACAGUACAUACUACGAGUAUAUGUAUGCCCGCAGGCCUCUUGCCUAAGCACUCCCAAGGUGCCUUCCCCUACCCCCCUGGGAACAAAUUAAACAGAUUAAUACAAAGAAUUUCAAUAAUCAAAACAGUCCUUUUGACAUAAACAUACCUCUGCAGAACCGGCUACAAAAUACUUUUCAAAAAGUGUCUGAGCAACAACCAACACAGAAUAUCAAAGACGCUCUCCCUGAGCAACAAACAAUACUGAGGCAUACCCUUUUAAGCUGCAGAAGGAGUCUAAUUGAAGACAGCUGUAUCCUUUGACGAGAAGGCGGGGUCAGAGCUCCAAUUAUCGAUGGGACCGACCAAUCAGCUGCUUAGGACUUCAGGAAGCUAUUUCCUGAAAUACACACAUAGACACAUACAAACCCACAACAACACAGAAACUGGGGAACGUAACACAAUUUACAUACAUUUAAAAACAUGUAAUGUGUGUGCAUCUAUCAGUUACACGUCAGUACAUAUACACAAAGCCAGAGUUCACAUGGGGUAAGAAGCAUUGUUGGGAAAGAGCUUGCAAGAAAGGCACUUCACUGUACUUGUGCACGUGACAACUUGAAACUUAGUGGUGCGCUCAACAACAUUGACUGUCUGCGUUUCCUUUCACAGGCUAAAGAGGAAAUUGGAGCCCAGAUGGAAAUCGAGGCUAAAAAGGAUGCCAUAGAUGAGAAGACGGUCCUUGACGUCAUCUCUGGAGAUUUAUCCACCCCCCACCCUGUUAUCUCAGAACUGCAGUGUCACACGCAGCUCGCCGCCCCCAAGGAAAUCCCAACAGAGGCAGUGCUGAAUGGACAGAUGGCAGCUGAGGUGGCCAUUGAGGGAUAGAUCUCUAUGGAUGUCCUCAGUCAGUAUGAAAGACUAAAGAGAGCCUGACAGUGAGCCGACCAGCGAACUUUACUUUUCAUUUUUUAGGGCUUAAAGGGACCGCUGGGAAAUUUGACAGACAUCCAACACUCAGUGCCUUUCUUGCUUGGGUUCUUACAAACAAAAUAUUAAACAAGUUUAAAAUGCGACAUGAAGGUGGGGGAAUAACACUUUUUUGUUGUUGAUCAGAAUGUGACAAUUUGGAAUAAACAAAUCAUGGCUUUCAUAGAUUUCUGUAUCCCAUUGCAUAUAUUGUGGAUUUGCCUCAAUUGUAAAUGGCAUGCAUUGUGUAUGAAUACUGUAGAAUUAAUGAAUGUGGCAAUGGCUUGUCUUCACAUGUUUGUAUGGAUGAGAGGGAUUAAUUCCUUGUACACGUUUCCUGUUUUAACCUGGUUUGAUUCCUUUUUGUGAAGGGACAGUAUGGCAGUUUGUACAGUACCAUAGCUACCCCCUCUUCUCCCUAUCCCCAUUGUGGUACUUUUGUUUUUUCAGGGACUGUAUGAUGACAGCUCCACCCUCUUUACUGUGUAGUGUCAGUGUGUCUACAGUCCCAAGUCUGUCCUGGGCAAUGUGAAAUGGUGUGUAGUUUUAGGUCCUCUGACCAGAUGCUCUUAACAUUUAAUUACCUAUGCUGCCAACUUAAAAUAGAGUAUGGGGGCCUGUAGAUCCUGUUUUUAGUUUUUCUUUUCUUUUUCUGUUUUGUAUAGACCAUAUGAUGUGGUACAACCGCUGUUUGUGUUCAGUUACGUGCUCUGGAAUUGACCAUGGAGUUGUCAUGUAAUUGAGGAGCUGGGUUGGAUUUCAUUCACCUUUUUGAAUAAAGAUGUUACUCACCAAGUUCUUG